GAUGAACGCUGGCGGCGUGCCUAAUACAUGCAAGUCGAGCGAACGGACGAGAAGCUUGCUUUUCUGAUGUUAGCGGCGGACGGGUGAGUAACACGUGGAUAACCUACUUAUAAGACUGGGAUAACUUCGGGAAACCGGAGCUAAUACCGUAUAAUAUUUUGAACCGCAUUGUUCAAAAGUGAAAGACGGUCUUGCUGUCACUUAUAGAUGGAUCCGCGCUGCAUUAGCUAGUUGGUAAGGUAACGGCUUACCAAGGCAACGAUGCAUAGCCGACCUGAGAGGGUGAUCGGCCACACUGGAACUGAGACACGGUCAAGACUCCUACGGGAGGCAGCAGUAGGGAAUCUUACGCAAUGGGCGAAAGCAUGACGGAGCAACGCCGCGUGAGUGAUGAAGGUGUUCGGAUCGUAAAACUCUGUUAUUAGGGAAGAACAUAUGUGUAAGUAACUGUGCACAGCGUGACGGUACCUAAUCAGAAAGCCACGGCUAACUACGUG
rnacentral:rRNA from 1 species